rnacentral:lncRNA from 1 species
GCCAAGGUAAGGGUGAGAUAAAUCCUAAGGGGGUACUAGGCUAAAAUUCAUAUUUUUCUUCCCCUUUCUCUUCUUUUUUUUCUUUUUUUUCUUUUUCAUAAGGAGUAUGUAUUGACAUGUAUACAUCCUUCUAUUUUUUUUCAUUCAUUUUUUCUUUUCUAUUUUUAUUUUCUUUUCCUACCAACUUCUGAAAUAUUACAAACAUAAUUAUUCAACCCCACACAACUCCAAACAAGACUCUUUCAAC